GGCUCCAUGGUCAAGCGGUUAAGACACCGCCCUUUCACGGCGGUAACAGGGGUUCAAAUCCCCUGGGAGUCA
rnacentral:tRNA from 1 species